AUUGAACGCUGGCGGCAGGCCUAACACAUGCAAGUCGAACGAGUGGCGGACGGGUGAGUAAUGUCUGGGAAACUGCCCGAUGGAGGGGGAUAACUACUGGAAACGGUAGCUAAUACCGCAUACCAUCGGAUGUGCCCAGAGGGGAUGUGCUUGUAGGUGAGGUAACGGCUCACCUAGGCGACGAUCCCUAGCUGGUCUGAGAGGAGGACCAGCCUGACUGGAACUGAGACACGGUCCAGACUCCUCAGGGGGGCAUCAGGUGGGAAUCUUGCACAAUGGGGGCAAGCCUGAUGCAGCCAUGCCGCGUGUAUGAAGAGGGCUUUCGGGUUGUAAAGUACUUUCAUCGGGGCGGCGUUACCCGCAGAAGAAGCACCUGCUAACGCCGUGCCAGCAGCCGCGGUAAUAC
rnacentral:rRNA from 1 species